UGGUUCUGUAGAUGUGGCAGCUGUUUCAACAUGUGUUUAUCUAAACUCUCUCAUUGCAGGGUUGAGGGUGUCACCAUCAUGAUCGCCAUGGAUGAGAAUGCUGCCACUUAUACCCUGAGUCGAGGGUGUCACCAUCACGAUCGCCAUGGAUGAGAAUGCUGCCACUUAUACCCUGAGUCGAGGGUGUCACCAUCACGAUCGCCAUGGGUGAGAAUGCUGCCACUUAUUCCCUGAGUCGAGGGUGUCACCAUCACGAUCGCCAUGGAUGAGAAUGCUGCCACUUAUACCCUGAGUCGAGGGUGUCACCAUCACGAUCGCCAUGGAUGAGAAUGCUGCCACUUAUUCCCUGAGUCGAGGGUGUCACCAUCACGAUCACCAUGGAUGAGAAUGCUGCCACUUAUACCCUGAGUCGAGGGUGUCACCAUCACGAUCGCCAUGGGUGAGAAUGCUGCCACUUAUUCCCUGAGUCGAGGGUGUCACCAUCACGAUCGCCAUGGAUGAGAAUGCUGCCACUUAUACCCUGAGUCGAGGGUGUCACCAUCACGAUCGCCAUGGAUGAGAAUGCUGCCACUUAUUCCCUGGGUUGAUGGUGUCAUCAUCACGAUCACCAUGGAUGAAAGUACUUCCACUUAUUCUCUGGUACUCCGUGCUCCGAUGUGGUGGUUUGGGUAGCAGCAGCAGUGUUUCGAAUUUCUCGCAUCAACCCGCAGCGUUUCCGGCAGGAUGUCCAGUCUGGGUGCGUAUUUGACGGGCACACAGAGACAUUCCAGCGCCUGCAUGUGCGGCCGUCCCAGAAGACCCGAUGCCACCGAUCCUUCCAGCUGCAUGGCUGCAUGGGCGCUGUCGUACCGCACCGUGUGCUCAGCCAACCUACGGUUUGACACCCGCCCGACCCCAGAGUGUCAUCACUAUCCUUAGCAUCUUUUUGAGGCAGUUGUCACAAUUUUCAACCUUAACGAUUGUAAGCUCUUCAUAAAAUUUGAAUCCACAUAUGUAUAGUCUUAAAGCAACAACAUAUCAGCUGUCCUAUCCAGCUUUCAGCCUCCAAAUGUGUUAUUGGUAUUUAUUUAGUGCAUCCUGCACUCAAUAAGUAUUAAAUUAGCACACAGUACUUGGGGAGUGCGCGGCGUGCUGAACAUUGCGGCAUCAAUGAUGAGUGAAUAGACAACGCAACAAUGUAUAUAUCUCACUUCAUUCAAGGACUCUUGGAGACUUCUGCUUCUACAAGAAGUCUCAACAUUCGUAGAAGCAGAGUCAUUUGAGCGCAUUCAAAACAGCUAAUGUCGGUAAGCUGUAUCGACAGCCAUAAAGAUGUGUGUGCUGAGU
rnacentral:lncRNA from 1 species